rnacentral:rRNA from 1 species
UACGUAGGGGGCUAGCGUUGUCCGGAAUCAUUGGGCGUAAAGAGCGUGUAGGCGGCCCGGUAAGUCCGCUGUGAAAGUCAAAGGCUCAACCUUUGAAUGUCAGCGGAUACUGCCGGGCUAGAGUCCGGAAGAGGCGAGUGGAACUCCUGGUGUAGCGGUGGAAUGCGCAGAUAUCAGGAAGAACACCAACGGCGAAGGCAGCCUGCUGGGCCGGUACUGACGCUGAGAAGCGAAAGCGUGGGGAGCGAACAGG